rnacentral:sRNA from 1 species
CAAGUUUUUAUCUAGUUUUAUUCCGCAGACCUUGUGUUCUAGACCUUUUGUAAUCCGGAUUUCUCUUUAUCUAUUCAGUAUUCAGUAUUCAGUUUCUGUUCUUGAUUUCGUUACUGUUGUUCAUUCUGUUAUCAUCAUGCUGUUACACUGCUGUUAUCAUGUUUUCAACUUGUUCAACGUUUAUGCUUUCUGUUAUGAUGUCUGAGUAGUGAAUAGGUUUCUGAGGAUGGGUUAGAGUAGUGUAGGAUUCUCAGUAUGCUAGGUGAUUGAGUAUUGAUUGAUAGAUCCCUUCUGGAUUAGUUGUUCUUAAUGCCUAUUGCUUUCUGAUCAACUGGAAUUUGAGUCCAGACAUUUCUGCGCCCAAAAGGUGUUCGAUGAAAUGUCUGAACCACUAAUUCCAGAGAUUCGUGACCCUGUACCAAGGUAUUGGUUGCAGGGAGCAUCUUGGCUUUAACUUGUUUAUUCGUAAUGCCUGUUAGGUUAGCUCUCGUCAAUGGUGAUUGACUCUGGGACUAGGUUAACUUGAGAGUCUCUGUUGCGGUGGCACUUAGAUUUUGUUAAUGAACUUGUUGUCUAAGGUUAAUUUAUUGAGUAUGUCAAUCACCUGUAAACUGAGGAAACGAAACUACUCAAUUACCCCAUCCUCGGGAAUUCUUUAUCUGAUUGAACUCUUUGUUUACUCUACUGUUGUUUACUGCAUCUUGUUAUCUGUCGCUUAAUUUCUGCAGUUCUUUCUUGUUACUCGACCUCAUACUCGACCACCCAGUUGUCUGGCAACAGACUGUGCAGUCGAGUAUCUGUGUUUUAUUUUCUGUCUGUUUACUCGACCUGUCACUCGACCUCACCCAGUACUCUGCAAAGAGCUGUGUUGGUCGAGUGUUUUACUGUUUCUGCUUGAAUUUCUGUUUUCUGCAUGUUCACUUAGGACUGCUAGAACACACCACAACCUGUUAUUGCUUGGCUUGACUUAGUGACUUCUGAUCACAUCUUGAUUGUUAGCAUCACACCUAUUUGGAUUGACAACCUAAAAUACUACAACGACAUGAUUGGUGUUUUAGGAUAAUUAACUAAAAACCUAUUAUCAAAUUCAAUUACAUUGUACUAACUA